AAAAAAGUCAUAGAGGUUAUGGGAUUGGCUUGAAACCAGUCUUUGGGGGUUCGAUUCCUUCCUUUUUCA
rfam:Macaca mulatta chromosome 6, whole genome shotgun sequence.